UAGGUUUCUAGGUAUUCUUACAUAUACUCGAUGUAUACAUGAAAAAAAAAAUGAAGACAAUAUAAUAUAAAUAUUUAUACUGUAGAAAGGGCACAAGGAGAGAUUGCUGAUAACAAUUGGUAUUAAGAGCUAUAAAAUUGGUAUUAAGAAUCUAGUAUUUUGUCUAAUUUUAAACUUGAUAUCUCUAUAACUCAUUGAGACUGAAAGGAUUAAACAUAUAUAAUUAUUAAAUACGUGCAUACAUACAUAUAUACAGGGUGUUAAUUUUUAAGUCGAGCAUUUAAUUUAUUUCGACUGUUAUUGAUGUCAAGGAAUAAUGAGAUUUAACCUCUUGCGUUGGAUUGAUGUGCCACGCGCACGUUUUUUAUCCGAAAAUUGCAAUAUUUUCUCAGUUUUAAUAUAUUUAAAUAUAACCCAGACAACAACAAAUAAUAAAUUUAUUACUUCUUAGUAAUUUUUACUUAUUAAACAUGUAAUUGGUCUAAUCGCGACAUCUCUUAGAGUAACUAGUCAAUAAGUAAUUGUCACGUGGUUCGUUCGUUUUUAUUCCUUAGCAACCAAGCAAGAUGUGUACAUUUGUACGUAAGUCGAUCAGUGUGAAUGAUAUACUUUGAAUUGUGUUUGAGUUUAAAAUAUUUUCUUCUCUACCUUAAACCAUUGGAAACAACAAAUUUCUAUCCAGUGAUAUACCGAUGAAUUCAAAAAGAAGACGAAUUAUUGUAUACGGUUUGGUCACUCGUUAUGGUCUGCGAACCAGUUGCCAGCGCCAGAGGUUAAAUGGUUUGAAAGGCGUGCAUUUGAGGUUAGUAAAAAAAAAACCUGCAAAGGUCAUCGUGCAUACUUUUUUCGUGUAUUAACAUUUUUUAUAACACUCUAAUAAUUGAUUUAAAAUUAACAUCCUGUAUGUUUUACAAAGAAUGCCAAUGAAUAAUGGGAGUCAACAUAUUCUAUCACAAUAAAUACUGUUGUUCGUUCCCAUUAUGAAGUACGUAUAAUUGUUAGACUGCGGAUUUUUAUUGCGAAUUCAUAUUUUUACGAAUGAAAUUCAGAAAAACGCAACUAGGUAGGAAAUUGUUCUCUCUGUUAAUUGUCACCUCUAUGCAUUUUUGCAUUUUCAAACUUCUCACAAAUGCGUAAAAAUCCGCAGUCUAGUAAUUAUCUACGAAGCAUUCAAAUCGAAUUUCAUCGUGAUAAAGAAACACUUUUGUGAUAUUGGAUUUUGGUUAAUUUGCAUAAUUUUUAUUCAUUCGUUAAAUGGUUACUUUUUUUAACUAAAUGUCACCGUCACGAAAAUUGACAAAUUACAAGUAUUCAACGUGAAAAAAAAUUUAUUGGUCUUGGGAAGUCUAUUGACAUAUAAUACAUGGAAUGAAAUCAGCGAACGAUAAAUAAUUGGCAAUUAUUUUUGCAGAAACGAUCGUUUAAUUAUUUUUUUUAUUUAUUUAGUUAUUUAAAUAGUGACGGGCAGAUGCCCUAUUAUACAGGAAAAAAAAUAAAAUAUAUAUAUUCUGAGAAU